rnacentral:misc_RNA from 1 species
GUUUUUGAUUCAUAGAAACAAAAGUCAGGCAAAAAAAAAACAAUGGGGUUUAUAAUGGCGGGUCUGGGUCAACUCUAGAGUUUUGCCAAACCCAAAUACAAUUACAGUGCACAAAGGUAUAUGAAAGUAAGUGCCCCUUUAAAAAGGCCAUGCUCACUUAGCUGGUAGCCAAGCUUGCACCUUACUCUAUAAUUUUAUAAUGAUCCAACCGCAGGUUCACCUACGGUUA